UGGGGAAUAUUGGGCAAUGGGCGCAAGCCUGACCCAGCAACGCCGCGUGAAGGAAGAAGGCUUUCGGGUUGUAAACUUCUUUUCUGAGGGACGAUAGUGACGGUACCUCAGGAAUAAGCCACGGCUAACUACGUGCCAGCAGCCGCGGUAAUACGUAGGUGGCAAGCGUUAUCCGGAUUUACUGGGUGUAAAGGGCGUGUAGGCGGGAUGGUAAGUCAGAUGUGAAAACUAUGGGCUCAACCCAUAGCCUGCAUUUGAAACUAUCGUUCUUGAGUGUUGGAGAGGCAGGCGGAAUUCCGUGUGUAGCGGUGAAAUGCAUAGAUAUACGGAGGAACACCAGUGGCGAAGGCGGCCUGCUGGACAAUAACUGACGCUGAGGCGCGAAAGCGUGGGGAGCAAACAGGAUUAGAUACC
rnacentral:rRNA from 1 species